rnacentral:rRNA from 1 species
CGGGUGAGUAAUGUAUGGGGAUCUGCCUGAUGGAGGGGGAUAACUACUGGAAACGGUAGCUAAUACCGCAUAAUGUCUGCGGACCAAAGCGGGGGACCUCCGGGCCUCGCGCCAUCAGAUGAACCCAUAUGGGAUUAGCUUGUAGGUAAGGUAACGGCUUACCUAGGCGACGAUCCCUAGCUGGUCUGAGAGGAUGAUCAGCCACACUGGGACUGAGACACGGCCCAG